rnacentral:rRNA from 1 species
AUUGAACGCUGGCGGCAUGCCUAACACAUGCAAGUCGAACGAGACCUUCGGGUCUAGUGGCGCACGGGUGCGUAACGCGUGGGAAUCUACCCUUGGGUUCGGAAUAACAGUUAGAAAUGACUGCUAAUACCGGAUGAUGACGUAAGUCCAAAGAUUUAUCGCCCAAGGAUGAGCCCGCGUAAGAUUAGCUUGUUGGUGGGGUAAUGGCCUACCAAGGCGACGAUCUUUAGCUGGUCUGAGAGGAUGAUCAGCCACACUGGGACUGAGACACGGCCCAGACUACUACGGGAGGCAGCAGUGGGGAAUAUUGCACAAUGGGCGAAAGCCUGAUGCAGCAACGCCGCGUGAGGGAUGAAGGCCUUCGGGUUGUAAACCUCUUUUAGUAGGGAAGAAGCGAAAGUGACGGUACCUACAGAAAAAGCACCGGCUAACUACGUGCCAGCCGCCGCCGUAA